UACGGGGGGGGUAAGCGUUGUUCGGAAUUACUGGGCGUAAAGGGCUCGUAGGCGGCCAACUAAGUCGGACGUGAAAUCCCUCAGCUUAACUGGGGAACUGCGUCCGAUACUGGAUAGCUUGGAUUUGGGAGAGGGAUGCGGAAUUCCAGGUGUAGCGGUGAAAUGCGUAGAUAUCUGGAGGAACACCGGUGGCGAAGGCGGCAUCCUGGACCAAUAUUGACGCUGAGGAGCGAAAGCCAGGGGAGCAAACGGG
rnacentral:rRNA from 1 species